CAAAAUUAUUGAAUGAACAACUUCCAUCUUGCAAAAGUUAAUAAAAUCUUUGGAAAGGUGUUUGAUAUUGUUUGUUUAUUAGCUAUUUGCAUAUUUGUGCAUUUAAAAGUUAUUAUUUCUUGCGAAUUGUGCUGUCGUUUUACUUAGUCAAUAUGAAUAAACAAGUAAAGGCCUGCUGUGCACCAGGAUGCACGAAUAAGCAAGCGAAAAGACAUUCCAUUCCUACAAAUGAAGACGUUUGUAGAAUUUGGUUGCAAAGAAUAAAUAACCCCAAGUUAAUAAUAGCAGAUACAGUAUUAACAUCACAUAGAAUAUGUGAUAUUCAUUUUGAAUCAAUUUGUAGAAACCCCAAUGGCAGGUUAAAAAAACUUUCACUGCCAACUCUACAUUUACCUAGUUACGAAAAAUGUGAAAAUAAUAUUUUUUGGGCACAGGGGCAAUCAUCUUCAUUUUCAACUCCAAAAAGGCUGAUAGGUAGGUAUGAAUUGUAGUAUAUUAUUUUCACAAAAAUCUGCCUGUUAAUUCUUCUAGUCAUGUAAUCAAGAUGCUAAAUUGUUUGAAUCAUUGUACAUUUUGGGUAUGGGCAUGACUCAACCAUUUAUGGCAGUUAUAAGCAGGUAGAAAUGGAUUGAUGUGUAUAACAUCUGGGGAACAGGCUUCAUGUUUUUAUUUCAUAUUAAUAACCAAAAGGAUUAUUCAAUAAUAAUUUAGAAUCAAUUACAAGGACUAGUUCCUCUAUCAGCACCUUUACUGGUAACAGCCCAAUAGAGGGAACAAAAAAACCUGUUAAGUUGUACACAAGGAAGUGAUUA